UAUGUGUUAGUAGCCACAAAACCUCUGGAAGACUGGGAGUUAUCUAAAUGCUAAGUAGUGUUAAUAACAGCUCAAGAGUGAAAGGUUAGAGCGCAUAAAGACUUCUUCUUUGUACCUUGGUUCAAUCUUCUCUGCAGAAGAACUUCUCAUCAUGCUGUUCUGGACUUGCUGGAACUGCAAUCACAAAAAAAAAAAGGGAGAGUCAUCAGUCUUUGCUGAUGACUUGGAGUUACCAGCUGCUUUUCGUGCUGUAGCCCAAGGAAGUGCUUACUCACUGGGGGUGAUAGGAAUGCUUUGCAGGAAGCACUGCCAGAGAAGGGAACUGCAUCAGUUCACCUCCUCCUCCAAGGAAGAGCUCGUCCUGCCAAGGAGGACAAUGGGAGGGGACUCCAGCAGAGGCACCAAGCUCCCAUGCUGCUUCUUGAACAGCCAGGCCUGGAGGCACCAACAGCUGCUCAGCCUUAAGGGAUCUGAUUUGUUUGUCUGGAGAGCUGGAAGUCUGAAGAAACCUCCAGGGAAUACCCAUACGUUUUGAGGAUGCAGAGAACGGGAAGAGUCUGAUUCCUGGAGGAACCCAACAAAUCCUUUGCAAAUCCACUUCGUGCCUGUGCAAGCUGCAGGAAAGAGGGAAGGAAGAUUACCUUCGAAGAGGAGUGUCAGGGUGUCUGCAAAGAUGACAGCAGCUCGACGGUCACUCAUGUCUGUCCCCAUCACCAGCUGCAGGUUCUCUUCUGCUUUGCUGGCCACCUGCAUGACAACAGGACCAGUCAGCUGAACACCCAAAGGUUUCCUGCAUCCCCAGGGUGGUCCCCCGUCCUUGCCCUAUCCAGCUUUCACUGGCCUUCCCAUUGCAAGAGCUAUUGCUGUUGUUCCUCCUUUGAACAAGGAUCCUUUCCUCUUUUGUGGAAAACUCAAGGGUUGAGAAAAGACAGAAACUUGUUCUUCUCUUUCCAGGCUCAUUGUAUGAGCUUUAAGCAAGUGCAGAGAGCAAGACACAGAAGGAGAAGCCGAACAGCCCCCAGGAUCUGUACUCAGACACCAGAAAGCCCAUCCCAGGACACAAAAUGCAGGGAGAGAGAUGAACUGAGGCUAGUGCUGGUUUCUAAGAUUAACAAGCCCCAGCCAAAACCUCUUUCCACAACAUCCAUUGACAGAGACUGAGUUUUGCUUUCCCCUGGAUGACCAGACAGGCCACAGCAGUUUCACAGACCCUGUUACCUGCUUGCAGAGGUACUCAGAGAACUUGCUCAGCCCCUCUUCGUGUAAGCCCAGCAGGGGAAAGAUCUUGAAGAACCGUUCCACCUGGGGCAGGUCUCCCUGCUUCAUGGCUGUGUCGAACUUCUCUGUGACAAUCGUCUUCAAGCGCUGCUCUGCCUCCUGCAGGAGCUUCAGGUUGGCAUCAAUUAUGCCUCCUGGACAAAAAGACAGAAAAGAAAGGGAAAAGUGACAGCACAAUGUUAGUGCUGUAUCCAGAGCUACUUUUUUCCCCAGGAGAGAGACCAACACUGUGCAGCUCUAGGCUGAGAAGGCAGAAGACACACUGGAAUUUCUCUAUAGGCAAACAAAGACAGGUAGGUGUGUGAUGUACACUCAGCUAAUGUUGUGGUUUUCCAUGGAAGAUGAGAACACAUCCACCAGGACGUUUCUUCUAAGGAUCUGGCAAAUUACUCCUUGAUUUCCAGUUGCUCUGCUUGGUAGCUCACUGUAACACUGCAACAGUUCUCCCUGACAGGGCCUUCUCCCUCACUUCUUUUGACCUGAACAUUUUGUCCUUUGCUUAGUUAGCACCUGAAGUACUAUUAAAGCUGUGUGCCAGGAACUCCUCUUUCAAUUAAUGUUAAUUCCAACUUCACAACACUUCGCCUCAAAGUCAGUCUAUAACAUAUAAAGAACUUUGGCCAGAACUAGAUCUUCUGCUUUGUCUAUUGGGCUAUCUGCCAUGGGAAAUCAUGCACUCUCUAGUUAUGUGCUACUGGAAGGGUGACUUAUCAGCUUCACCUCAUGAGAAGAGCUCACCUUCCUUGCCCUGACGACUGAGCUCAAUCACUGACUUGUCCAGAGACAGAUAGCGAUGGAUAUGAGCUGCUGCUUGUUCAUAGUCUUCAUUCCUCAGGGCUGUUUGAACUCCAUCCAUGCAGAACUUCAGGUCAAGGAUGUCAUCAGCUCUCUGAAUGGCCUGAUAGAGGCGGUUCUGCAAGAAAGGCACCCAGUAAAGCUUCCUGCUGCAGGACAGACCAGGGAGAGGGAAGUGUGAGGAGAAGACAGUGUGGGGGGAAAAAGGAAGAGACUGAAGCAAUACUUCUCUACACAAUAAACAACUACAUAAGCAGAAACCCCACACUACUUAAAAAGUCAUAAAACCAACGGCUCUGCAAGAGGAACAGCAUUUGUCAAAACUGAGGCUGAGCUCAGCUCUGCUACAACAAACAGGCACAGACCAGAGAGACAACCACAGGUUGUCUGGUUUGAUUUGUGCAGCAGUGCUGAGUGCUGGGAUCGACACCUCUCAGCCUGCCUCUGGACAAGGAAGAGAACAGCCCAGAUUCCUGACCAGGUUGGGUGACAAUGACCAUCUCCACUGUCCUCAGUGCUUGACAAGGGUGUCAGUGAAGGCUGCCCUCACCUUAUCCAGGAUAUUGUACCAGGAGCUGCAUGGACAGAAGGGGAUGCCGGGGCAGCAUCCCUGGAAGUGUUCCAGGCCAGGUUGGAUGGGGCUCUGAGCAACCUGGUCUAGUGAAAGGU